UCUCCCCAAGGAAGAAAACCAAACACCAUUUAUGUAUAACAUGCGAUAGAAAAAACUAAUCUCUGCUAAUCAAGAAUCUAAAGAUGAGAGAGAAAGAGAGCUCAGAACUAACCUCCAUGAGUUUGGUGAUCAGCUGCACUUUCUCCCUGUUCUUCUCGUUGAAUGUAUCAAGCGCUUCUUUGUAUUCCCUUUCCUGUUUUAUCCACAAAUGCACAAAUAUAAUACUUCCUUCCUCAUAGGAUCUGGCAUAGACUCAAGCUCCUGCAUAAUAAGACCCCCACAACAUAAAGUAACCAUCUUUUACAUUAACCCACAUCAAGACCAAACUGUUCAUGUCCAAAAGUCAAAACUUUGACCAAUCCUAGAUCUUGAAAACAGAGAAAACAGAGCACAGCAAAGCAGAGCAAAGCAGAGGAAACAGAGUAUCCAAAUCUCUAAAGAAACGUAAAGGAGACAACUUUCUGUAGAAAACUAACCUCGCGAAGGGUGGAGAGUCGUCGGGUUUCUUCCUCGACCCGACCCAACUGAGCCUGGAUCCGUUCACGAACCUCCAUCCUCCUCUUCUCAAUCUCAUCCUCUUUAGCCCUAAAAGCAGAGAGAGCAGAACGAGUCAUCUCCUCGUCUUCUCUCGACAUGUGGCUGCUGAAGCUCAAGCUUCCCGUGUGCAACACCAUCUCGUUUCUCUGCGGCUGAGGAGGAGGAGGAAGCUCCGUCGUCGUCGCGGCGGCUCCGGUUGAAGCUCCGGCGUUGGUCUGAGUCAUCUUCGGUUUCUCCUUGGUGCUAUUCUUCUUCCUUAACCCAAAGCAGGAGCUCGAAUCCUCGGGGGAGUUACGGUGGGGCUCUUCGAGUAAACCUAUUGUCGCUGAUUCGAAGAAGAAGCUUGUGUGGUGUUUUAAUGGCGGAGGCGUGUCUGGAUUUGUUAGUGGGUUUGUUUGGUCUUUGUGUAAAGGUGGUUUCUGUGUUUGGUUUUAAAUGAUUAAGCACACCGUUUAAUUGCAUUAUUAACCUAAUCUUCUUUUUUUAAUCAUGUUAUUAGUCGUCUUACGACCGUUUUUUAAGGAAUCGAAUUAUA